CUGCAGAAUAGCCCCGCCCCCCUCAGUUUCUAUGAUCUGUACCUGCAGAAUAGCCCCGCCCCCCUCAGUUUCUAUGAUCUGUACCUGCAGAAUAGCCCCGCCCCCUCAGCUCAUCUUUCCUCUCUGUGUGUGUGAGGGGGACGUCUUUAUUUGAGCGAUAAAAGAAAAAUGAUUUCUCGUUGUUCUAGUUGUUGUUUGGAGUUUGGAGGACUGAUGAUCAACUCGUGGACAGAGACAAACUGGAACAUCACCAGCAGCCUCAGCAGAUCUUCCUAUUUAAAUCUGAGCUGCGGUGGAAAGCAGCCGAAUAUUUGAUGUUCAGCAGCUGAAGCUGAAGACACUUUUUGUUGAUUUUUCUUUUUAUAUAUUUUGCUUCACCAGCAGGUAAAAGUGGUUUCUCAUCAGAAGGUUUUAUAACUGGAAGAACUCUUGGCUGGUCUUUCCUCUGGCUCUGAUAAAAACCAGGAAGUGGACUAACAGGAGUCCUGUGUGGACGGACUGAACCGAGCCGGAGCUGAUUCCACCAGUGUACAGAGACUGCAUGAUAUUUAGGUGUGGGACGGGGACUUGUCUUGUUGUGGAUUAUUUUUAAAUACCUGAACAAAUCAAAGUGUGUGUGUGUGUGUGUGUGUGUGUGUGUGUGUGUGUGUGUGUCUAUGAUGACAUGAGAAGAAGCCAUGUAUUAAAAUAUCACAUUUAUGCUGCAGAACCGUUGUGAGGAACCGGUGGUUUGUGUUGUGGACUCGCCGGUGUGACUCCGACUAGCAAUAAGAACCCAAAAGCUUUAUUUAGAUUUCCUGUUUGAGAUCAGACCGUCUGGGUCUGUUGAUUCUGUUUAUUUUAGUUGAUUUUUCCUCUGACAUAUAAAUGCAUAUAAAACUGUGAAAAUCCAUGUGUUCAGUUAAAGGGUGACUUUUAGGUUAGUUUAUUUUAUUUGCAUGUUAAUCUAAUUGGUUGAGUUAUGGAUGAUUUCUUCUUCCUCCAUUGUGUCUCACAUAUGAAACGAUAUCUAAUCUCGCUCUCAGGGUCUGUCACCAAUCCAUUAUUUGAAACUCGUGUUCUGAUUUCCUGAGUCCAAACAUGUCCUGAUUCUUUUUGCUUUUUAUUUUUGAUCAUGAUUUAAAUCGUCAAAUCACUACAUUGAGCACUUGACUGUGAAGCUGCCGUCAGCUGACAGAGCGUCUCCAUCUUUCCUGUGUUUGUGUCGGACAGAGGACGUCAGUGUGCUGGACCUCAAUCAGAGAGCAUUAAUUCACAAUCUUCUCCAAACUGUUAAAACACCAACAUGUAUCCACCCCAAUAAGAAGAAGCAAUAAAGAUUAAAGGAAAGGUGUGAAUCAACA